ACAUGCAAGUCGAGCGGACCGACGGGAGCUUGCUCCCUUAGGUCAGCGGCGGACGGGUGAGUAACACGUGGGUAACCUGCCUGUAAGACUGGGAUAACUCCGGGAAACCGGGGCUAAUACCGGAUGCUUGUUUGAACCGCAUGGUUCAAACAUAAAAGGUGGCUUUUCGCUACCACUUACAGAUGGACCCGCGGCGCAUUAGCUAGUUGGUGGGGUAACGGCUCACCAAGGCGACGAUGCGUAGCCGACCUGAGAGGGUGAUCGGCCACACUGGGACUGAGACACGGCCCAGACUCCUACGGGAGGCAGCAGUAGGGAAUCUUCCGCAAUGGACGAAAGUCUGACGGAGCAACGCCGCGUGAGUGAUGAAGGUUUUCGGAUCGUAAAACUCUGUUGUUAGGGAAGAACAAGUACCGUUCGAACAGGGCGGUACCUUGACGGUACCUAACCAGAAAGCCACGGCUAACUACGUGCCAGCAGCCGCGGUAAUACGUAGGUGGCAAGCGUUGUCCGGAAUUAUUGGGCGUAAAGCGCGCGCAGGCGGUUCUUUAAGUCUGAUGUGAAAGCCCCCGGCUCAACCGGGGAGGGUCAUUGGAAACUGGGGAACUUGAGUGCAGAAGAGGAGAGUGGAAUUCCACGUGUAGCGGUGAAAUGCGUAGAGAUGUGGAGGAACACCAGUGGCGAAGGCGACUCUCUGGUCUGUAACUGACGCUGAGGCGCGAAAGCGUGGGGAGCGAACAGGAUUAGAUACCCUGGUAGUCCACGCCGUAAACGAUGAGUGCUAAGUGUUAGAGGGUUUCCGCCCUUUAGUGCUGCAGCAAACGCAUUAAGCACUCCGCCUGGGGAGUACGGUCGCAAGACUGAAACUCAA
rnacentral:rRNA from 1 species